rnacentral:rRNA from 1 species
UACGAGGGGGGCGAGCGUUGUUCGGAAUUAUUGGGCGUAAAGGGUGCGUAGGCGGCCUGACAAGUCUGAUGUGAAAUCCCUGGGCUCAACCCAGGGCCUGCAUCGGAAACUGUCGGGCUUGAGUAUGGGAGAGGUGAGUGGAAUUUCCGGUGUAGCGGUGAAAUGCGCAGAUAUCGGGAAGAACACCCGUGGCGAAGGCGGCACUCUGGGACGGUACUGACGCUGAGACGCGAAAGCGUGGGGAGCGAACAGG